UGGGGAAUCUUGCGCAAUGGGGGCAACCCUGACGCAGCCAUACCGCGUGUGAUGAAGGUCUUCGGAUUGUAAAGCACUUUCAGUAGGGACGACGAUGACGGUACCUACAGAAGAAGUCACGGCUAACUUCGUGCCAGCAGCCGCGGUAAUACGAAGGUGGCGAAUGUUGCUCGGAUUCACUGGGCGUAAAGCGUCGGUAGGUGGUUAUGUAAGUCAGAGGUGAAAGCCCCGCGCUCAACGUGGGAAUUGCCUUUGAAACUACACAACUUGAAGAUAUGAGAGGAUGGCGGAAUGACUGGUGUAGAGGUAAAAUUCAUAGAUAUCAGUCGGAACACCCAAGGCGAAGGCAGCUAUCUGGCAUAUUCUUGACACUGAGCGACGACAGCGUGGGGAGCAAACA
rnacentral:rRNA from 1 species